rnacentral:rRNA from 1 species
UAACAACCUGGAAACAGAUGCUAAUACCGGAUAACAACAGAUGAUGCCUAUCAACUGUUUAAAAGAUGGUUCUGCUAUCACUCUUGGAUGGACCUGCGGUGCAUUAGCUAGUUGGUAGGGUAACGGCCUACCAAGGCGAUGAUGCAUAGCCGAGUUGAGAGACUGAUCGGCCACAUUGGGACUGAGACACGGCCCAAACUCCUACGGGAGGCAGCAGAG